UCACAGCCCCCCAGCUGAGCAUGGACUUGGCACUUAGCUUUUCAGACGAGGUGCUUCCCUGGAGUUUAUUGUCACAAACACAGCACUGACCUGCGGUGUCAAGUGAUCACGUGUGGGAGCAGGAGCAGGAGGAGGAAGGAGCCAGCACUGGUCAGGACAGCUUAUUCUUGGUGUGUGUGAGCAGUGCCAAUAAGCUGUCAAAAAAAAUUAUGGUUUAAAACAUACAGCCGGCUGGCACCACGGCUCACUAGGCUAAUCCUCUGCCUGCAGUGCUGGCACACAGGGUUCUAGUUCUGAUUGGGGCGCUGGUUCUGUCCCGGUUGCUCCUUUUCCAGUCCAGCUCCCUGUUGUGUCCCAGUAACGUAGUGAAGGAUGGCCCAAGUCCUUGGGCCCUGCACCCAUAUGGGAGACCAGGAGGAAACACCUGGCUCCUGGCUUCAGAUCUGCGCAGCGUGCCAGCCGCAGCACGCCAGCUGUAGCAGCCACUUGGGGGUGAACCAAUGGAAAAGGAAGACCUCUCUCUCUGUCUGUCUCUCUCACUGUCUAAAUCUGCCUGUGAAAAUAAAAAUACAGCCCACAGCCUUCAAUUCACUUUCACCAAGACGCUCAAGCAGCUCAGAGGGAGCACAAUUGAUUCUGUUUUGACAGGUCCUGAUGUACGCUAAGCACUACCUUAUUUAUUUGUCAUGAUGUUCUUAGGAAGAAGGUGGGAUUGUGUACAUUUUACAGCUGGGAAAACGAAGCUGUCAGUGAUGAAGCGUGUGCCUAGAGUAUUUGAGUUAGAACGAAGGUACUUCAAUGAAUUCCUAGAAAAUGGAAUUCAAAGAUAACUUGAUUUUGUUGCAAAAAUGUUUGAAUUCCACAACGUAGGUUUUUUUUUAAUAAUAGAUGUUUUCAUGAAGUUUUUUCAAGACCUCUCACGUAGGUAUCCAUGUCAAAAUUUUUUAUACCAAAACCAAUUUUUUCGGAGCAGGCAUUUGGUGCAACAGUUAGGUCACUUCCUGGGACACCCACAUCCUUUUUGGAGGGCUGGACAUAGACCUUGCUGAUUUUUUCAGAAGUCUACACUUUUUCCGUCACAUCCGUGACAAUGAGCUCUGGCAGGACAUCAUGCUUUGGUGCCACUCCCAGACAUGCAUGUGCAGUUCCUCUGUGGAGGAGCUGGGGGGAACUGUGACCCAAUACUCUGUUUUCUCAUUAGCCCCAGUUUGUCUUAACCUGUGAGCAAGAGCACAUGUUUAGGAAAGUAAGAGGACAGUUCUUACGGCAGAUGGAUUUCUGCUCCCACGCCUUCCGUGGGAAGGACUUGACCUGCCAGAAGUCAGAGGCGCAAGGCAGCACUGGUGUAUCUCUGUGUUUGUGGUGCAGGUGGGUAAGUGGGAGAACCAGACCCUGAGCCCAAGGCCCACGGUGUGGCCCUGGUACAAGUCCUUCUCUGACUGUGAGCUGGAUCACAACCACCUGAGCAUCAUCACCCUGGAGGAGGCCCCCUUCGUUAUGGUGGAAGACAUCAACCCGCUGACUGAGGCGUGUGUGAGGAACACGGUGCCGUGUCGGAAGUUCAUCAAAAUCAAACUGCACACACGGAGGAGAAGGCAGAAGCUUAGAGAAACACCAAGAAUCCCUCUGUGUUCUGUUCCAGCCUGUCCAAGGUUCUGACACCUCAUAUCUCCUACAGUGAUUCAGACUACAGCCUGGAGGUGAGAGUGACGGGCGGUCUCAGCAUCCUAACCACUGCCGUGUCUUCCGUGUUGGAGAAGUUCUCCUACAUCCUCGAGGACAAGGUUAGCUGCUACGGGCAGACCGAGAAGCCAGAGGCCCCACUGCAUACUCUUUGCCACUUCUUGGUGUCCAGCGUUGCAGCAUUCUUCCUCGGAUGCCGUGUAGAGCCCCGGCGCUGGACUUGGAACAAGGAGGUCUCAGCUCAAGGGCUGGCUCUGAGGAGGCCACCUGUGACCCCCCACUCCAGGCACAUUGCUGUGGCUGCUGGAGAGGAGGUGUCCACUGGCCUGAGCUCGGCAUGAGGUCCCCCGUAGCACUUGACCCCAG